AACGAACGCUGGCGGCGCGCCUAAUACAUGCAAGUCGAGCGAGAAGGUGUAGCAAUACACUUGUAAAGCGGCGAACGGGUGAGGAAUACAUGGGUAACCUACCCUCGAGUAGGGAAUAACUAGCCGAAAGGUUAGCUAAUACCGCAUACGAUUCCAGGACUUCGGUCCUGGAAGGAAAGCACUACCGUGGGUAGUGCGCUCCUGGAUGGGCUCAUGUCCUAUCAGCUUGNGGUGAGGUAAAGGCUCACCAAGGCUUCGACGGGUAGCUGGUCUGAGAGGACGAUCAGCCACACUGGCACUGCGACACGGGCCAGACUCCUACGGGAGGCAGCAGUAAGGAAUAUUGCGCAAUGGGCGAAAGCCUGACGCAGCGACGCCGCGGUGGGGGAGU
rnacentral:rRNA from 1 species